rnacentral:rRNA from 1 species
AGCAGCCGCGGUAAUUCCAGCUCCAAUAGCGUAUAUUAAAGUUGUUGCAGUUAAAAAGCUCGUAGUUGAAUUUCGGGAUUAGUAAGUUGGUCAUGCCUUUGGUAUGUACUGGUUUCACUGAUUCCUCCCUCUUGAUGAACUGUUAUGUCAUUAAUUUGGUGUUUCAGGGAAUCAGGACUGUUACUUUGAAAAAAUUUGAGUGUUUAAAGCAGGCUAACGCUUGAAUACAUUAGCAUGGAAUAAUGAAAUAGGACGUUCGAUCCUAUUUUGUUGGUUUCUAGGAUUGACGUAAUGAUUAAUAGGGAUAGUUGGGGGCAUUAGUAUUCAAUUGUCAGAGGUGAAAUUCUUGGAUUUAUUGAAGACUAACUACUGCGAAAGCAUUUGCCAAGGAUGUUUUCAUUAAUCAAGAACGAAAGUUAGGGAUCGAAGACGAUCAGAUACCGUCGUAGUCUUAACCAUAAACUAUAGCCGACUAGGGAUCGGAUGAUGUUAAUUUUUUAAUGUACUCUAUUCGGCGCCU